rnacentral:rRNA from 1 species
AACGAACGCUGGCGGCAUGCCUAACACAUGCAAGUCGAACGAAGCCUUCGGGCUUAGUGGCGCACGGGUGCGUAACGCGUGGGAAUCUGCCCUUGGGUUCGGAAUAACAGUUAGAAAUGACUGCUAAUACCGAAUGAUGUCUUCGGACCAAAGAUUUAUCGCCCAAGGAUGAGCCCGCGUCGGAUUGGCUAGUUGGUGAGGUAAAGGCUCACCAAGGCGACGAUCCGUAGCUGGUCUGAGAGGAUGAUCAGCCACACUGGGACUGAGACACGGCCCAGACUCCUACGGGAGGCAGCAGUGGGGAAUAUUGGACAAUGGGCGAAAGCCUGAUCCAGCAAUGCCGCGUGAGUGAUGAAGGCCUUAGGGUUGUAAAGGCUCUUUUACCCGGGAUGAUAAUGACAGUACCGGAGAAUAAGCCCCGGCUAACUCCCGUGUCCAGCAGCCGCGGUAAUCUGAGUCGGAG